CAGGCCUGCGUCUCGACGCCUAGUACACGGUAGCGGCGGGGGAUGACGGACACCUGGGUAGCGACACUGACACGAGAAAAAGACGAGUGUGUUAGUCGGGGGAGUCCGUCUCUGCUAGCAUAGCUCUCGACNCACGCCGGUGNGCCACACUACGUCUCGCGCUCGCAGCGAGGAGCCAGGGAGGGUGGGUGAAGAGGACGAGUGCGGUCCAGGGUCAAUUGAGGCAGUCUUAAAAAAGACAAAUCGAUCGUUGCCCGUCGGUGAGAGAUAAACUGGCGUCACGCGGUAGUCAACACCGGGUUGGCCAGAUGCCCCCUCCACUAAGUCCGGCAAGAUUGUGGGGUAGANUAGCUCCCAGGUCGACGGUGUGGUGGGUAGAAGGAUCCGGGUAUGAGUCACC
rnacentral:rRNA from 1 species